rnacentral:rRNA from 1 species
AAUUUUGGACAAUGGGGGAAACCCUGAUGCAGCAACGCCGCGUGAGCGAUGAAGGCCUUCGGGUCGUAAAGCUCUGUCUUCGCUGAAGAUAAUGACGGUAAGCGAGGAGGAAGCCACGGCUAACUACGUGCCAGCAGCCGCGGUAAUACGUAGGUGGCAAGCGUUGUCCGGAAUUAUUGGGCGUAAAGGGUGCGUAGGUGGCUCUUUAAGUGGGAUGUGAAAGCCCUUGGCUUAACCAAGGAUGUGCAUUCCAAACUGGAGAGCUAGAGUGCAGGAGAGGAAAGUGGAAUUCCUAGUGUAGCGGUGAAAUGCGUAGAUAUGUGGAGGAAUACCGAUGGCGAAGGCAGCCCCCUGGGAUAAUACUGACGCUCAGACACGAAAGCGUGGGGAGCAAACAGG